rnacentral:rRNA from 1 species
GGCUGAAAUUCGCCUUCAUGAAGCUGGAAUUGCUAGUAAUGGCAGGUCAGCAUACUGCCGUGAAUACGUUCCCGGGCCUUGUACACACCGCCCGUCACACCAUGAGAGUUGGAAAUACCCGAAGCCUGUGAGCUAACUUAAAGAGGCAGCAGUCGAAGGUAGAGCCCAAUGAUUGGGGUGAAGUCGUAACAAGGUACC